GAUCCUGGCUCAGAUUGAACGCUGGCGGCAGGCUUAACACAUGCAAGUCGAGCGGGGAAAGGUAGCUUGCUACCUGACCUAGCGGCGGACGGGUGAGUAAUGCUUAGGAAUCUGCCUAUUAGUGGGGGACAACGUUCCGAAAGGAACGCUAAUACCGCAUACGCCCUACGGGGAAAGGCAGGGGAUCUUCGGACCUUGCGCUAAUAGAUGAGCCUAAGUCGGAUUAGCUAGUUGGUGGGGUAAAGGCCUACCAAGGCGACG
rnacentral:rRNA from 1 species